rnacentral:rRNA from 1 species
UACAGAGGUCUCAAGCGUUGUUCGGAUUCAUUGGGCGUAAAGGGUGCGUAGGCGGCGCGGUAAGUCGGGUGUGAAAGUCUCGGAGCUUAACUCCGAAACUGCAUUCGAUACUGCCGUGCUUGAGGACUUGGAGAGGAGACUGGAAUUUACGGUGUAGCGGUGAAAUGCGUAGAUAAUCGUAAGGAAGACCAGUGGCGAAGGACGGGU